ACGGGGGGGGCAAGCGUUGUUCGGAAUUACUGGGCGUAAAGGGCUCGUAGGUGGCCAACUAAGUCGGACGUGAAAUCCCUCGGCUUAACUGGGGAACUGCGUGUGAUACUGGAUGGCUUGGAUUUGGGAGAGGGAUGCGGAAUUCCAGGUGUAGCGGUGAAAUGCGUAGAUAUCUGGAGGAACACCGGUGGCGAAGGCGGCAUCCUGGACCAAUAUUGACGCUGAGGAGCGAAAGCCAGGGGAGCAAACGGG
rnacentral:rRNA from 1 species